rnacentral:rRNA from 1 species
ACGCUAGCUACAGGCUUAACACAUGCAAGUCGAGGGGAAACGACAUCGAAAGCUUGCUUUUGAUGGGCGUCGACCGGCGCACGGGUGAGUAACGCGUAUCCAACCUGCCCAUCACUUGGGGAUAACCUUGCGAAAGUAAGACUAAUACCCAAUGAUAUCUCUAGAAGACAUCUGAAAGGGAUUAAAGAUUUAUCGGUGAUGGAUGGGGAUGCGUCUGAUUAGCUUGUUGGCGGGGUAACGGCCCACCAAGGCGACGAUCAGUAGGGGUUCUGAGAGGAAGGUCCCCCACAUUGGAACUGAGACACGGUCCAAACUCCUACGGGAGGCAGCAGUGAGGAAUAUUGGUCAAUGGACGAGAGUCUGAACCAGCCAAGUAGCGUGCAGGAUGACGGCCCUAUGGGUUGUAAACUGCUUUUAUAAGGGAAUAAAGUGAGUCUCGUGAGACUUUUUGCAUGUACCUUAUGAAUAAGGACCGGCUAAUUCCGUGCCAGCAGCCGCGGUAAUACGGAAGGUCCGGGCGUUAUCCGGAUUUAUUGGGUUUAAAGGGAGCGUAGGCCGGAGAUUAAGCGUGUUGUGAAAUGUAGACGCUCAACGUCUGCACUGCAGCGCGAACUGGUUUCCUUGAGUACGCACAAAGUGGCGGAAUUCGUGGUGUAGCGGUGAAAUGCUUAGAUAUCACGAAGAACUCCGAUUGCGAAGGCAGCUCACUGGAGCGCAACUGACGCUGAAGCUCGAAAGUGCGGGUAUCGAACAGGAUUAGAUACCCUGGUAGUCCGCACGGUAAACGAUGGAUGCCCGCUGUUGGUCUGAAUAGGUCAGCGGCC